CGGGAUGUAGCGCAGCUUGGUAGCGCAUCUGUUUUGGGAACAGAGGGUCGCAGGUUCAAAUCCUGUCAUCCCGACAA
rnacentral:tRNA from 3 species